UGGUGGAUGAGUGGCGAACGGGUGAGUAACACGUGAGUAACCUGCCCCUGAUUUCGGGAUAAGCCUGGGAAACUGGGUCUAAUACCGGAUACGACCAUCCCUCGCAUGAGGGUUGGUGGAAAGUUUUUCGAUCGGGGAUGGGCUCGCGGCCUAUCAGCUUGUUGGUGGGGUAAUGGCCUACCAAGGCGACGACGGGUAGCCGGCCUGAGAGGGCGACCGGCCACACUGGGACUGAGACACGGCCCAGACUCCUACGGGAGGCAGCAGUGGGGAAUAUUGCACAAUGGGGGAAACCCUGAUGCAGCGACGCAGCGUGCGGGAUGACGGCCUUCGGGUUGUAAACCGCUUUCAGCAGGGAAGAAGCCGUAAGGUGACGGUACCUGCAGAAGAAGUACCGGCUAACUACGUGCCAGCAGCCGCGGUAAUACGUAGGGUACGAGCGUUGUCCGGAAUUAUUGGGCGUAAAGAGCUCGUAGGUGGUUGGUCACGUCUGCUGUGGAAACGCAACGCUUAACGUUGCGCGUGCAGUGGGUACGGGCUGACUAGAGUGCAGUAGGGGAGUCUGGAAUUCCUGGUGUAGCGGUGAAAUGCGCAGAUAUCAGGAGGAACACCGGUGGCGAAGGCGGGACUCUGGGCUGUAACUGACACUGAGGAGCGAAAGCAUGGGGAGCGAACAGGAUUAGAUACCCUGGUAGUCCAUGCCGUAAACGUUGGGCACUAGGUGU
rnacentral:rRNA from 1 species